rnacentral:rRNA from 1 species
UUAAGCGACUAAGCGUACACGGUGGAUGCCCUGGCAGUCAGAGGCGAUGAAGGACGUGCUAAUCUGCGAAAAGCGUCGGUAAGGUGAUAUGAACCGUUACAGCCGGCGAUGUCCGAAUGGGGAAACCCAGUGCAAUUCGUUGCACUAUCGUUAACUGAAUACAUAGGUUAACGAGGCGAACCGGGGGAACUGAAACAUCUAAGUACCCCGAGGAAAAGAAAUCAACCGAGAUUCCCCCAGUAGCGGCGAGCGAACGGGGAGCAGCCCAGAGUCUGAAUCAGCUUGUGUGUUAGUGGAACGGUCUGGAAAGUCCGACGGUACAGGGUGAUAGUCCCGUACACCAAAAUGCACAGGUUGUGAACUCGAAGAGUAGGGCGGGACACGUGGUAUCCUGUCUGAAUAUGGGGGGACCAUCCUCCAAGGCUAAAUACUCCUGACUGACCGAUAGUGAACCAGUACCGUGAGGGAAAGGCGAAAAGAACCCCGGCGAGGGAGUGAAAAGAACCUGAAACCGUGUACGUACAAGCAGUGGGAGCACCUUCGGUGUGACUGCGUACCUUUGUAUAAUGGGUCAGCGACUUAUAUUCUGUAGCAAGGUUAACCGUAUAGGGGAGCCGCAGGGAAACCGAGUCUUAACUGGGCGUUAAGUUGCAGGGUAUAGACCCGAAACCCGGUGAUCUAGCCAUGGGCAGGUUGAAGGUUGGGUAACACUAACUGGAGGACCGAACCGACUAAUGUUGAAAAAUUAGCGGAUGACUUGUGGCUGGGGGUGAAAGGCCAAUCAAACCGGGAGAUAGCUGGUUCUCCCCGAAAGCUAUUUAGGUAGCGCCUCGUGAACUCAUCUUCGGGGGUAGAGCACUGUUUCGGCUAGGGGGUCAUCCCGACUUACCAACCCGAUGCAAACUACGAAUACCGAAGAAUGUUAUCACGGGAGACACACGGCGGGUGCUAACGUCCGUCGUGAAGAGGGAAACAACCCAGACCGCCAGCUAAGGUCCCAAAGUCAUGGUUAAGUGGGAAACGAUGUGGGAAGGCACAGACAGCCAGGAUGUUGGCUUAGAAGCAGCCAUCAUUUAAAGAAAGCGUAAUAGCUCACUGGUCGAGUCGGCCUGCGCGGAAGAUGUAACGGGGCUAAACCAUGCACCGAAGCUGCGGCAGCGACACUAUGUGUUGUUGGGUAGGGGAGCGUUCUGUAAGCCUGCGAAGGUGUGCUGUGAGGCAUGCUGGAGGUAUCAGAAGUGCGAAUGCUGACAUAAGUAACGAUAAAGCGGGUGAAAAGCCCGCUCGCCGGAAGACCAAGGGUUCCUGUCCAACGUUAAUCGGGGCAGGGUGAGUCGACCCCUAAGGCGAGGCCGAAAGGCGUAGUCGAUGGGAAACAGGUUAAUAUUCCUGUACUUGGUGUUACUGCGAAGGGGGGACGGAGAAGGCUAUGUUAGCCGGGCGACGGUUGUCCCGGUUUAAGCAUGUAGGCUGGUUAUCCAGGCAAAUCCGGAUAAUCAAGGCUGAGGUGUGAUGACGAGGCACUACGGUGCUGAAGUAACAAAUGCCCUGCUUCCAGGAAAAGCCUCUAAGCAUCAGGUAACAUCAAAUCGUACCCCAAACCGACACAGGUGGUCAGGUAGAGAAUACCAAGGCGCUUGAGAGAACUCGGGUGAAGGAACUAGGCAAAAUGGUGCCGUAACUUCGGGAGAAGGCACGCUGGUGUGUAGGUGAAGCCCCUGCGGGUGGAGCUGAGACCAGUCGAAGAUACCAGCUGGCUGCAACUGUUUAUUAAAAACACAGCACUGUGCAAACACGAAAGUGGACGUAUACGGUGUGACGCCUGCCCGGUGCCGGAAGGUUAAUUGAUGGGGUUAUCCGUAAGGAGAAGCUCUUGAUCGAAGCCCCGGUAAACGGCGGCCGUAACUAUAACGGUCCUAAGGUAGCGAAAUUCCUUGUCGGGUAAGUUCCGACCUGCACGAAUGGCGUAAUGAUGGCCAGGCUGUCUCCACCCGAGACUCAGUGAAAUUGAACUCGCUGUGAAGAUGCAGUGUACCCGCGGCAAGACGGAAAGACCCCGUGAACCUUUACUAUAGCUUGACACUGAACAUUGAGCCUUGAUGUGUAGGAUAGGUGGGAGGCUUUGAAGCGUGGACGCCAGUCUGCGUGGAGCCAACCUUGAAAUACCACCCUUUAAUGUUUGAUGUUCUAACGUUGGCCCCUGACCGGGGUUGCGGACAGUGUCUGGUGGGUAGUUUGACUGGGGCGGUCUCCUCCCAAAGCGUAACGGAGGAGCACGAAGGUUAGCUAAUCCUGGUCGGACAUCAGGAGGUUAGUGCAAUGGCAUAAGCUAGCUUGACUGCGAGCGUGACGGCGCGAGCAGGUGCGAAAGCAGGUCAUAGUGAUCCGGUGGUUCUGAAUGGAAGGGCCAUCGCUCAACGGAUAAAAGGUACUCCGGGGAUAACAGGCUGAUACCGCCCAAGAGUUCAUAUCGACGGCGGUGUUUGGCACCUCGAUGUCGGCUCAUCACAUCCUGGGGCUGAAGUAGGUCCCAAGGGUAUGGCUGUUCGCCAUUUAAAGUGGUACGCGAGCUGGGUUUAGAACGUCGUGAGACAGUUCGGUCCCUAUCUGCCGUGGGCGCUGGAGAAUUGAGGGGGGGGCUGCUCCUAGUACGAGAGGACCGGAGUGGACGCAUCACUGGUGUUCGGGUUGUCAUGCCAAUGGCACUGCCCGGUAGCUAAAUGCGGAAGAGAUAAGUGCUGAAAGCAUCUAAGCACGAAACUUGCCCCGAGAUGAGUUCUCCCUGAGACUAUAAGUCUCCUGAAGGAACGUUAAAGACGAUGACGUUGAUAGGCCGGGUGUGUAAGCGCAGCGAUGCGUUGAGCUAACCGGUACUAAUGAACCGUGAGGCUUAACCU